UAGUAUAUGGAAUUACCCAUUCUAUAAACCCACUCUGUGUAUCUUAUAACUGUUGCUUCCAUGGGACUUGGGCCUAUGUCCACGUCGGCCAAAACGGCUGGCGAGCGCCCAUGGGAGGAGAAGCAAAACUCUUCUUUGAAGUGUACCUAGUCUGACCCGAAAUAUUAAACUAUUA
rnacentral:misc_RNA from 1 species